CUUCACCAAGUCAUGAAAAGGACUCAAGACAAGUCGAACUAGGGACACCUAAAUCAGUCACACUGAUUUCUUAGUUAGCAUGGGUUAACUCCAAUCAUUAAGUGAUCUAAUCAAAAUAUGGUUCACCAUAUUGGCCAGGUAAGUGAGAUCGAUGAGAGAGAUAUGUCAUUAACUCUACAUAAACUCAAUCUAUGCGAGUAGCUUCCAAUUAAUGACCAC
rnacentral:lncRNA from 1 species